CGGAGAAUGCCGAAAUUUCAGUUGGGAGCACUGCUGAGAAUGCCGAAAUUUCAGUUGGGAGGAGCAGCUGAUUGGGAACCUCUUAAAUGUUCUUCAUGGAACAGGGCAGCUCCUCGCUGGGGUAUAUUCACACACACCACCCACACUUGAAUUUGUUUUUUACUUGCUGUAGUUUAUUGUGGCAUAACAGCGUAUAUUAUAUUAUAUUAUAUUAUAUU